rnacentral:tRNA from 1 species
GGCCCCGUAGCUCAGUAGGAUAGAGCAACGCCCCGACGAAGCGUAGGUCCCCGGUUCGAGUCCGGGCGGGGCCG